CACAGCGAGGUUCACAGUCGAUAUGGGGCAGUGAAUGAAGCCUAGUGAAGCCGUCGAGCAAUAGUCAAGGGAGCAUUCUUUUUCAUCCUGAUUCCCUUGACAUUGAUCAGGUUCCCAAUGCACCUGCUACACACCACCCAGACUUUCCUGCACACUGCUGCUUUCUCAACAACAGAAUUGGCAAUGACCUGCACAAUCAGAGGCAUCAUGAAAUUAUUUUCUUACAUACAGUCUAGUUAAACAUUGCCACACUGAAGCAUCGGGCAAAAGGUAUAGAAGUGUGAAAACGCACACCUCCGGAUUCAGGGACAGUUUCUUCUCAGCCUGAACCAUCCUACCACAACUAGAGAGCAGUCCUGAACUACUAUCUACCUCAUUGGGGAGCCUAGGACUAUCGUUGAUCGGACUUUACUGGCUUUAUCUUGCAUUAAAUGUUAUUCCCUAUCAUGUAUCUGUACACUGUGAAUGGCUGGAUUGUAAUCAUGUAUUGUCUAUCCACUGGCUGGUUAGCAUGCAACAAAAGCUUUUCACUGUACUUUGGUUCACAUGACAAUAAACUAAACUAAACCAAACUGAAACUAAACAA